rnacentral:rRNA from 1 species
GACGAACGCUGGCGGCGUGCUUAACACAUGCAAGUCGAACGGAAAGGCCCUGCUUUUGUGGGGUGCUCGAGUGGCGAACGGGUGUGUAACACGUGAGUAACCUGCCCUUGACUUUGGGAUAACUUCAGGAAACUGGGGCUAAUACCGGAUAGGAGCUCCUGCUGCAUGGUGGGGGUUGGAAAGUUUCGGCGGUUGGGGAUGGACUCGCGGCUUAUCAGCUUGUUGGUGGGGUAGUGGCUUACCAAGGCUUUGACGGGUAGCCGGCCUGAGAGGGUGACCGGCCACAUUGGGACUGAGAUACGGCCCAGACUCCUACGGGAGGCAGCAGUGGGGAAUAUUGCACAAUGGGAGGAAGCCGGAUGCAGCAACGCCGCGUGCGGGAUGACGGCCUUCGGGUUGUAAACCGCUUUCGCCUGUGACGAAGCGUGAGUGACGGUAAUGGGUAAAGAAGCACCGGCUAACUACGUG